GCUUCGGCGUCCCUUACGACGAAGCCUCGGUCUUCUUGGUCCAAAUGAUGCUCAAUCGGCCUUAUUUUGCCGAUAGCUCUUGACCCGCUCGACGAAUCGAAAUUCCGACUUCGCCCCCGUGUUUCGUUACCUAGCAAUUAGGUUUUCAAGGCCUCAAAUGAGAUCAAUCUCAUACUUUACCAAAAACCCUAUUUUGAUGCCCUAGGGUUAGCAUCAAGCUAAACCCACCUCAAAACCCUAGGUUCUAGCUUCAACCCUACCAUUCAUGGUGCCAGGGAUCCAUUUGAUCCCAUCCAAAGAGCUAAAACCCAAAAACCCUAAAUUUCCCAAGCUAGGGUUAAAAGCUUACCUCUAGGUUGGCUUAAAAGAGAGAAGAGAGGAUGAGGGAGAAGUCCAAAAGCUUCCUUUUGUUGAUCUCCUUCUUCUUCUCCUUCCUUUUCUUCCUUCUUUUUCUUCUCCUUUCUUCUUCUCCUUCUUUUUCUCCUUCUUUU
rnacentral:lncRNA from 1 species